rnacentral:rRNA from 1 species
CCUGCCCAAAGAGAUCGGGAUAACACCUGGGAAACAGAUGCUAAUACCGGAUAACAACAGAUGAUGCCUAUCAACUGUUUAAAAGAUGGUUCUGCUAUCACUCUUGGGAUGGACCUGCGGUGCAUUAGCUAGUUGGUAGGGUAACGGCCUACCCAAGGCGAUGAUGCAUAGCCGAGUUGAGAGACUGAUCGGCCACAUUGGGACUGAGACACGGCCCAAAACUCCUACGGGAGGCAGCAGUAGGGAAUCUUCCACAAUGGACGCAAGUCUGAUGGAGCAACGCCGCGUGAGUGAAGAAGGGUUUCGGCUCGUAAAGCUCUGUUGUUGGUGAAGAAGGACAGGGGUAGUAACUGACCUUUGUUUGACGGUAAUCAAUUAGAAAGUCACGGCUAACUACGUGCCAGCAGCCGCGGUAAU